rnacentral:rRNA from 1 species
CUGCUGCCUCCCGUAGGAGUUUGGACCGUGUCUCAGUUCCAAUGUGGGGGACCUUCCUCUCAGAACCCCUAUCCAUCGAUGCCUUGGUGGGCCGUUACCCCGCCAACAAGCUAAUGGAACGCAUCCCCAUCGAUGACCGAAAUUCUUUAAUAGUUCUACCAUGCGGAAGAACUAUGCCAUCGGGUAUUAAUCUUUCUUUCGAAAGGCUAUCCCCGAGUCAUCGGCAGGUUGGAUACGUGUUACUCACCCGUGCGCCGGUCGCCAU